rnacentral:rRNA from 1 species
CCCUUAGAUGUUCUGGGCCGCACGCGCGCUACACUGAUUCAUGCAACAAGUUUUGUCCUUGGCUGAUAGGCCUGGGUAAUCUUUGAACGUGAAUCGUGAUGGGGAUAGAUGAUUGCAAUUAUUCAUCUUCAACGAGGAAUUCCUAGUAAACGCAAGUCAUCAGCUUGCAUUGAUUACGUCCCUGCCCUUUGUACACACCGCCCGUCGCACCUACCGAUUGAACGUUUUAGUGAGGUACUCGGACUGAGCCUCAGAAGAUUCACGUCUUUUGUGCUGCUCGGGAAGAUUCCCAAACUUGAGCGUUUAGAGGAAGUAAAAGUCGUAACA